rnacentral:lncRNA from 1 species
GUGUUUUCUCUUUUUUUGUUGUGAGAGGGACGGUUUUUCCGUCCGGUUUUUUCUGGAAAAAAUAGUUCAUUAAAAUCUCUCAACAUGGGAUCUACUUUUGAAGACCUCGACGCGAGAAAUCCAAUGAUAAAAACGGUUCAAGAUUUAGACGCACGGUUUAAAAGAUAAAAAGUUUUAAAAAUACAAUUUUAUGGUAUUUUACAACUAGUAGUAUGAUAAGUACUGUUAAGUGCUCUCGAUAACCGC